rnacentral:rRNA from 1 species
UACGGAGGGGGCUAGCGUUGUUCGGAAUUACUGGGCGUAAAGGGCGCGCAGGCGGCUGCUCAAGUCAGGCGUGAAAGGCCUGGGCUCAACCCGGGAAUUGCGCUUGAGACUGGGCUGGCUUGAGUGCGGGAGAGGAUGGUGGAAUUCCCAGUGUAGAGGUGAAAUUCGUAGAGAUGUGGAGGAACACCGAUGGCGAAGGCAGCCUUCUGGGCCAACACUGACGCUCAUGCACGAAAGCGUGGGGAGCAAACAGG